rnacentral:tRNA from 2 species
GAAAUAUUUAACAAUUAAGCUGCUAACUUAAUAUUAAGUGAUUAAAUUCAUUUAUAUUUCU